rnacentral:rRNA from 1 species
AUGACGUGGGAGGAUCUCGCCGGCGUGGACGAAAUGACAGGGCGCGGGGAUCUGGGCGAGGACAUCGAGAACCAUGGCGAGGACGGGAAUCGAGUGGGCGAGCUCAACGAAGGCUCGAGCGCGGUCAUCUCGCUCGUCCACGGGCAAAGCAGAGGACGGCAGAGACGCGAUGCAGGUGCAGGGGCAGAGGGGCGCCGCUCCAGGCUCGGGACGGCGACGGCUUGGACUCCGACGAGGCUUGCUGGAGUCGAGGAGGGAGGGAUCCAGCGGCAGAUCGCGGUGGUCCUGGACGGCGACGAAGCAGAGGAACGACAACAUGGCGCGGCAGCGGAAGCUCCUGCUGCUGCAGUUCCAAGAGAGGAAGAGAGGUCAGGGAGGCAGAGAGAGAAAGGGGUGAAUCAAGAAGGCAAAGGAGGGCUGAUGGGGCUCAUAUGA